rnacentral:rRNA from 1 species
GUGAGGAAUAUUGGUCAAUGGGCGGGAGCCUGAACCAGCCAAGUCGCGUGAAGGAAGAAGGAUCUAUGGUUCGUAAACUUCUUUUGCAGGGGAAUAAAGUGCGGGACGUGUCCUGUUUUGUAUGUACCCUGAGAAUAAGGAUCGGCUAACUCCGUGCCAGCAGCCGCGGUAAUACGGAGGAUCCGAGCGUUAUCCGGAUUUAUUGGGUUUAAAGGGUGCGUAGGUGGUUUGGUAAGUCAGCGGUGAAAGUUUGGAGCUUAACUGUAAAAAUGCCGUUGAAACUUGCGGGCUUGAGUGUAAAUGAGGUAGGCGGAAUGCGUGGUGUAGCCGUGAAAUGCAUAGAUAUCACGCAGAACUCCGAUUGCGAAGGCAGCUUACUAAGCUACAACUGACACUGAAGCACGAAAGCGUGGGGAUCAAACAGGAUUAGAUACCCCAGUAGUCC